rnacentral:rRNA from 1 species
AGAGUUUGAUCCUGGCUCAGGACGAACGCUGGCGGCGUGCUUAACACAUGCAAGUCAGGGGGCUUGGGCAACCAGGUCACCGGCGAACGGGUGCGGAACACGUGAGCGACCUGCCCUGGAGUGGGGGAUAGCCGGCCCAACGGCCGGGUAAUACCGCAUACGGCCUGCCCCGUUGGGGGGCGAGGCGAAACGCGUGCAAGCGCGGUUCUGGGAGGGGCUCGCGGCCUAUCAGCUAGUUGGGGGGUAACGGCUUCCCAAGGCGAUGACGGGUAGCUGGUCUGAGAGGAUGGCCAGCCACAUUGGGACUGAGAGACGGCCCAGACUCCUACGGGAGGCAGCAGUGGGGAAUCUUGCGCAAUGGGCGAAAGCCUGACGCAGCGACGCCGCGUGGGGGAGGAAGGCCUUCGGGUUGUAAACCCCUUUGGCCCGGGACGAACGACGCCUUGCGAGGCGUGUGACGGUACCGGGAGAACAAGCACCGGCUAACUCUGUG